CCUACGGGUGGCAGCAGUGGGGAAUAUUGGACAAUGGGGGGAACCCUGAUCCAGCCAUGCCGCGUGUGUGAAGAAGGCCCUCGGGUUGUAAAGCACUUUCAGUGAGGAAGAACGCCUGGUGGUUAAUACCCAUCAGGAAAGACAUCACUCACAGAAGAAGCACCGGCUAACUCCGUGCCAGCAGCCGCGGGUAAUACGGAGGGUGCGAGCGUUAAUCGGAAUUACUGGGCGUAAAGCGCGCGUAGGUGGCUUGAUAAGCCGGUUGUGAAAGCCCCGGGCUCAACCUGGGAACGGCAUCCGGAACUGUCAAGCUAGAGUGCAGGAGAGGAAGGUAGAAUUCCCGGUGUAGCGGUGAAAUGCGUAGAGAUCGGGAGGAAUACCAGUGGCGAAGGCGGCCUUCUGGACUGACACUGACACUGAGGUGCGAAAGCGUGGGUAGCAAACAGGAUUAGAUACCCGGGUAGUC
rnacentral:rRNA from 1 species